rnacentral:rRNA from 1 species
CGGGUGAGUAACGCGUAGGUAACCUGCCUGGUAGCGGGGGAUAACUAUUGGAAACGAUAGCUAAUACCGCAUAAGAACAUUUACUGCAUGGUAGAUGUUUAAAAGGUGCAAAAGCAUCACUACCAGAUGGACCUGCGUUGUAUUAGCUAGUUGGUGAGGUAACGGCUCACCAAGGCAACGAUACAUAGCCGACCUGAGAGGGUGAUCGGCCACACUGGGACUGAGACACGGCCCAGACUCCUACGGGAGGCAGCAGUAGGGAAUCUUCGGCAAUGGGGGGAACCCCUGACCGAGCAAACGCCGCGUGAGUGAAGAAGGUUUUCGGAUCGUAAAAGCUC